CAUAGAGGUUUGGAACAUUAUGAGAACCAUCCUUAAGUAUUUAUGAAAUACUAAGGACCAAUGGCUUGUUUAUGAAGAAUCUGACUUAAAACCUGUAGAAUAUUGAUUCCAGUUUCUAGUCGGAUUGAAAUGAUAAAGUUGUGUCAGAUUAUGUUUUAAUCCUAAAAGAUGAGCAACAUGCUAAAAGAUUCCAUGCAGUAUUCAGUAGCCAGUUUUAUUUGCAAUAUGAAUUUCUUUAUGGUAUUUGAUGCUGGUAAAGAAGUUAUUUGGUUAUGAA
rnacentral:lncRNA from 1 species